GUAUGUAGGUUUUAUUUUAUUUAUUGUUGUUUUUAAUCUUAUAUUUUGGAAAUGUGCACCCAGGGUUUCUUUCCUUUAAAUUUUUUUGGGGGCCCCAAGAGAGGGGGAGCCCUAAGCUAUAGCUUGUUUAGCUUACACGUAAGUCCGGCACUGUCUGUGAAUUUAAAAGAUGUUCUUGUGGAGGAGUGAAUGGAACAAAUUCUGAAAAGAAGCAGGAGACGUGUGUGUGUGUGUGUGUGUGUGUGUGUGUGUGAAAUAAUUUAUACAAGUGCUUAGAGCGAGGGGGGGGGAAGGUGAAGGGCUUCAUGUGACCCAUUUGCGUUGCCUUGAUGGACGGAAGCACUUGAUUGACGCUCAGCAACUCCCAAGGCCUGCUUACGAGGACUUGAGCAUGUGACACCGUUAGAAGGUCAUGCGCUUUUCAGGGCAGGCCUGUGAAAAAUGGAUUUGUGGUUUGUGCGUUUGAAUCUUCUACUUCCCUCCCCACCGAAACCUUGCUUUGAAUACAUCCUCCUUUGGAAGAAGAACGGGAAAUCUACCCAACUCUUGAAUGCUCCCCUUCUCACUAGCAGAUUUGCGCACCGAAGCAAAUUUUCUUUUGCAUGUCAGCCCGCGGGCCUCAUCCGGCCGCAUGCCUCAAAUGUGCUCCCAAGUGGGGGGUGUGCUGGUACCAAAGUGGUUGGGAUGUUGCGUCCAGCCGUAGGGGGAUGCUGUCGGUGUCAUGCCUUAUUGGGGAGGUGUGGGUGUUUGCACAUUUCGUAGAAUCUGUUAAAGAAAAAGAAGCCGAGUUAGAAGGGAACCCCAAGGUUCAUCUAGUCUAACCCCCUGCAAUGAAAGAAUCUACAGUUGAAGAAAUCUCGACAGAUGGUCAACCAACCUCUGUUUAAAAACUUCCUGGAGGUUUGGAGUAGCAUUGUUUAUUAUAUAUAAUGUAUAUAUAUAUAUAUAUAUAUUUAAUUGCACACAUAUAUUCCACCUCCUCCAAAAGCUCAGGGCAGUGAAUGUCUCCCCCCACCUCAACCGCAAAGCUGCUGUUUGGGUGGUGAAAAACGUGGCCGUCCUACAAUGAGGUGAAUUGCCUAGUUAGUAGUAAGAAACAAAACAGGCCUCAUCUGUAAUUUACACAGACGGGCACAGAGAAAAGCUAGAACAUGACACCCACCGUACCUUUUAUCUGACAAGAUUUAUAUACCGCUUAAUCAGCAGCAACAAAACACUCUAUUUGCAGUUUAACCUGUUGUUGGGCAGAGGAACGUGGGCUGGUGUGAAAAGUUGGCAACCAAGCCUCAGUGUGGCCUCCUAGCUUGAAAG